CUUAGGCAUUCGGCAUCAAUGAAACCCGUGAUAAGUUAAAACUAUAAUACAGUAAAACUUCUCUAAACCGGCCAGCUGCCGAACUGAAUAAAAUGGCCGGUCUAGAGGGGUGCCCGGUUUCCCAAGAAUAUAACAUACGGAAGAUAUGCAGAACUUUCAACUGUGUGACAGAUGCUAAGAAAAAUAUAUAAUUGGUGUCUGUUAUAAUUAUCUGUCAACAUAUUAUUAAUUAUCGGCAGACACGUAAUGUAUAUAUUCUUAAGGUAUAACAAGAUGAAAUUAUUAUUAGUGAGGAUAAAUUUGACUACAUGUUGAUUUUUAUAAAAAGAAAU